rnacentral:rRNA from 1 species
GACGAACGCUGGUGGCGUGCUUAACACAUGCAAGUCGAACGGGAUUUAGUAAACAGAAGCCUCGGUGGAAGAUUACUAAUGAGAGUGGCGAACGGGUGAGUAACGCGUGAGCAACCUGCCUAUGACAGUGGGAUAGCCUCGGGAAACCGGGAUUAAUACCGCAUAAAAUCGUAGAAACACAUGUUUUAACGGUCAAAGAUUUAUCGGUCAUAGAUGGGCUCGCGUCUGAUUAGCUAGUUGGUGAGAUAACAGCCCACCAAGGCGACGAUCAGUAGCCGGUCUGAGAGGAUGAACGGCCACAUUGGAACUGAGACACGGUCCAAACUCCUACGGGAGGCAGCAGUGGGGAAUAUUGCACAAUGGGGGAAACCCUGAUGCAGCGACGCCGCGUGAACGAAGAAGGUAUUCGUAUCGUAAAGUUCUGUCCUAUGGGAAGAUAAUGACAGUACCAGAGAAGAAAGCUCCGGCUAAAUACGUG